GUGCUCACUUCAGUAGCACAUAUACUAAAAUUGGAACGAUAUAGAGAGGAUUAGCAUGGCCCCUUAGCAAGGAUGACGUGCAAAUUCAUGAAGCGUUCCAUAUUUUA
ensembl:snRNA U6 U6 spliceosomal RNA